rnacentral:rRNA from 1 species
UACGGAGGGUGCAAGCGUUGUCCGGAUUUAUUGGGUUUAAAGGGUGCGUAGGCGGCUCAUUAAGUCUGGGGUGAAAGCCCGUUGCUCAACAACGGAACUGCCCUGGAAACUGAGGAGCUUGAGUACAGACGAGGUUGGCGGAAUGGACGGAGUAGCGGUGAAAUGCAUAGAUACCGUCCAGAACCCCGAUUGCGAAGGCAGCUGACUAGGCUGUUACUGACGCUGAGGCACGACAGCGUGGGGAGCGAACAGG